ACUAAUCUACACAUACAGACAACUAAAUCCUUUUCCGUUUAUUAAUCGGCCAGAUCCAAGAUCUAUUAGUUUCUAUAUUCUAUCAGUUUUUUCUUCCUAUUGAAGCAGCUGAUUGGGUACAAUAUCUCUUACGACGAUUCUGAUCCAGACAAUCGGGCAAGAAAGCAACAUAUUGAGUAAGCAAAUGUAUUUUCUGGAGUUUUAUUCAAUGGAGGAUAUUUCGUUUUGAUGGAGAACAGUUGGACGUAAUGGAGGACACGUAUAGUUGGGCUUAAUGUAAAUGGGCCACUUAAUUGUUUUGGCUUCUACCAGUUACCGUAAAUUUGUUUUGUUUAAUUUUAAAUAAGUAAAUACAGUGGCAGGACCUUGUAAAUAAGUGAGCUGAAUGAGAGUUUUUUCAUAAGUGUCUUUAAAAAUGUUAAUAUAGAUAUAUAUAUAUAUA